rnacentral:misc_RNA from 1 species
UGGCCUUGCUGCCACGAUCCACUGAGAUUCAGCCCCGCGUCGCAUCGAUUCGUCCCUCCCCCCCCCCCCCCCGUCUCGGAGGCGAUGAGCAACGGUUGGGGCUCGAGCGCAGCGCAGGGCAUGAUUGUGAUGGCAUGUGAGCGGUGCUCGUUGAGCAUGCCUCGGUGGGCUCCCUGCUAUUCUCUGCAGCCAACCGCCCGAGCAUGCCCCGUUCCACUCUUGGCCCGACGGCGUCGCUCGCGCGCGCCUCGGCGCCCACUCGGUUGCCCGUGCGCCGUUACCCAGUUCGAGGGAACCCAUCGGCAAGUGCUUCUCCCGCCUCUCGCUCCCGCCGUCGCGGGGCGCCGUGAGGCGGGCCUCGAAGCGGUGGCUGCGCGUCCACGGCUCCGUCGAUCGACGGCCGCCCUGGCUCGCAGCGCCCGCGCGUGCUUUCGGAUGCGGAGGAUGCUGUCGGCCGGGCGCUCUGAAACCCCGACUCUUCCUUCCGUCGCUCCCAGCGAAGGACGGCCCGCUCCGCUGCCCCGAGACCUCGAGUCGGGACGGCGGCGUCGCGGGCGUCGCGGAGGGCUGC